AGUUAUCCCGGCAUGUCGAAAGCUAUUUUCAUCUAUAUAUAAAAAUGUUUGUAAACCUGAAUCAAAGAAAAUCAUAGACCAAUUUCAUAUCUCCGUCUGUACAGGUCGGAACCACUGAAAAUACAGUUUUCCGUAGUUUCUUCAGAGAUCAAUAUACAGGGUGUAUAAAAAAAAACUGAACAGAUUUGAAAUUGGUCUCAAUUUCGUAAAACACCUAUUUGUAUCCGGUUUUUUAUAUAUGUAGCUUCUUUGGGUACUUAUAAUGUAGAAUAAUGAAAAAAAUUUCUUGAACUUAAAUUUUGUGAACCAGGGGGGGUGUCUUUUCCAACAAACUAAAAAUGGCUCGCGCACAAAAUUUAAAAGUUGUAAUCAUAUUUUGAAUUAAUAGAUGGAAAAUUUGUCGGGUUGUUAAUUACUGUACAAAAUUUCAGGCAAUUUGGUUUAGUUUAGUUUCUAUUCACGCAAAGUUACAUUUUUCCUAAAAAUCAGCUAUUUGCAUGCUUAAUUAAUGCCUUUGCCUAAUUUGCAUAUGUUAGCAAAUAUGCAAAUUAGGUAAACGCAUUAAUUAAGCAUGCGAAAGGCUGAUUUUUUAGAAAAAAAUGAAUAGUUAAAGGGUUUAAACUCAACCAAAUUGUCUGAAAUUUUGUACAGUAAUUCAAAACCCGACAAAGUUUCCAUCUAUUAACUCAAAAUAUGAUUACAACUUUUAAAUUUUGUGCGCGAGCCAUUUUUAGUUUGUUGGAAAAGACACACCUCCCUGGUUCACAAAAUUUGAGUUUGAGAAAUUUUUUUCAUUAAUCUACAUUAUAAGUACCCAAAGAAGCUAUAUAUAUAAAAAACCGGAUGCAAAUAGGUGUUUUGCGAAAUUGAGAACAAUUUCAAAUCUGUUCAGUUUUUUUUGAUACACCCUGUAUAUACGUUUCUUUUCAUGGGAAAAAAGGUAAUUUAGCAAAGUUUUCAAUCUGUAUACUUCAUCAAAUAUAUUCUAUGUCAUAGAUUAUUUUGACAUUUUGACACAUUACAGAUUUCAAGAAACUGCUAGGCUAAGUUUUUCAAAUAUUUCAAAUAUUUGAAAAUAAUAAUAGUUUUUAAAUAUUUCAAAGUGCCGAAAAGUUUUUUCGUUUUGAAGAGAAGAAUUUUUCAAACAUGAAGAGAUCAUGUUUGAAAACUUCUCAUCGUCGAUUUUAAAGCAAAGAAAGUCUCGGUUAAACGAUGAUGAGAGUUGCGACUUUCGCUCGCGUUUGACCGCCAACUCUUCAUCGACUUUCAUCAACUUUGAACUGGUUCAAAUUUUGAUGAAGUUUUUGCUAGGCGCGUGGUAAUAUCCAUGCAACUCUUGUUCUCGUUUGACCAAGGCAUGAGAGUUGAAGAAACUCUAGUGCAAACUCUUGCUUCUCAACUCUCAUCAACUCUCAUGCAACUCUUGUUCUCGUUGGACCGGGACAUGAGAGUUGAGAAAACUCUCAUGCAAACUGUCGCUUGCCAACUCUCAUGCACUCUCAUCCUCAUUUGAUCCGGGCUUAAAACUUUUUAUUUGCUAAAUUGUAUUCAUGCAUUCGGAGAAAAUUUAAGAAAUAAUAUACGACUAGUAAAUAUACGCACCAACAACUUUUUGCUGAGAAAAUGAGAACUUGCUUGAGAACCUGGAACCUAAAUAGUAACCUUAUUUACCGUACUGCAGACAAUGAUCGGGAUUACAGUUUGAAAGCUUUGCUGAAUAAAUAAUCGUAUUUUCAACAAAAAUAAAAGUACUUACAUUAUUUUCCAUUAAAUUAUCUAUCUGUUCCGUAAGUUCUCACAAAUCUGAUCUAUCAGACAAGUGCAUAGUUUCUUCCUUGCUUUUUCAUGUGUCGACAACAGAUGACUUGAACAUAUUCCAGUCAGGUUUUCACAAUUUGCUUGAUUUCAGUUUAAACGAUUUCUUGACAAGAAAAACAGGCGAAAGCAGCAACCAGGCAACUGUUCCAAUCAAUAUCUUCACAAUUUUGUUGUCAUAAUUACCACUGUCAUUUAACCAUCAACACACCAAUUAUAAUCACCAUCGUAACAAUGAUUUGUACCAUCACAACCUCUUCAUUACCUGCAUUUAUUUUAAGUGACAAAACGGUAACUAUCAGCAUUUUUACACCAUCGUCACUAUCAGCACCUUUAUCAUGCGACCAUCACCAACAUCAGCACUGUUAUAAUCAUUACCACCAUCAACAACACUGCAACAAUAACCACUAUCACCAUUUUCACCACCAUCACAACAUUGCCGUAAUAACCAUCACUAUCACACUGCAAUAAUAAUCACCAUCUCUCAACAUUGCAAUCUCAGACAUCAUCACGGCCACAAUCGCAAUUUUGACCACCAUCAUAAUGACCACCACCAACACCAUCAGUAAUAUUACUGUACUAUCAUUUCUAAAUCACCAUCUAUGAUUAUUAGUUCAUUACCAUCACCAACACCAUCAUACACCUAAAUAUUCUUCCAUCAGCUUUUCACGAUCAACACCUCAUGCAAGGUAACAGCUUUGUUUUCUACUUGAUAUUUGAUGCAUAAUUAGAACCUGUAACCCCAGGCAGGGAGGCAAGGGAGUACUAUCACUUGUCCAAGGUGAACUCCCAGACAAGCGGAGGGAAGGAGGUGUCUUACUUCUCCAUUCUAGACUGGCUCCAAGCAAAGUCUAACCACUGCCCCCAAAACAUCCUUAUUUACAUACCCUUGUUAAAAAAACCUUUUCAUCAUCGUUCUGUGCGUAAUAUACUAUAGGCCUACUGUAUAUAAACCGGCGUUAUCUAAGUACUUGUUGGACCAGGAACUGGUCCCCAAUCGCUGCUAAUCUUGUUGUUGUUGUUGUUGUUGUUGUUGUUGUUGUUGUUGUUGUUGUUGUUGUUGUUGUUGUUGUUGUUGUUAGGGGGCGACGCUCUUUGAACAAACCCUAAGGCUCCGUCAUUACUUGUCCGAUCGGAAUGAAACUUGACAUAAUUAUUCUAAGCAAUAUUCCGCAUCGAUUGACGGUGUUCGAUUUUUCAUUUUUGACUUUAGAAGCGAAAUACAAGCAAUUUGUGACUGUAUUCUGGGUCACGCAGUUCCUGGUCCAUUAUAGUACGAUCGUACUUUUUAUGCAUGAAUCGAGCCGAAGGCGAGGAAGUCAUACAUAUUUCCCAGAGCAAUGCCGACUUAUAGUAAGCAGCUGCCUUACGUUUCAUACUAGACAGCAAAGGGUCUUGUGGAAUGCACAGUCGAAGAAACUCCAUAUCGCCACUUAUCUUAGGAAAAGCCAUCAUGGUUUCUUUUGGGGGAAAUUUUACUUGUUUUAGCGCAUCACUUGUUAAAUAUCGUUGAAAGGAAGACUCGAGAAGCGCACCAGAGUCCAUGUCAAAAAAUUCUAAAAAGCGAUAGUGAGCAACAAUGAGAACUUUGUCCUUGUUGAGACAAAAUAGCUUUGUACCAACCAUACCAAACCUUUGCUCGAAAUCAAUCUUUACACUUUUGUGAUCACGGGUAACCAGGUCAAAUAUGUUACCGUCGUUUCCGUCAUGGGAAGUGCUCACAACAACAGCGACCUUAGAAUCGUUACUGAGGCAACACAAAUGUCUUGUUCCACAUACUUUAGUGAAAAAAACUUCAUACACAUCUAGCUCCUCCUUGGUAUUUCUUUUCCAAAUAUAAUACAUAUACUCAUCAUUGCCAAAGACAAAGGAAGCACCAGGCGAAACUGUAAUACUCAUUUCAGGUUCAAUUCCAGGUAAGGUGAUCAUUCGUGGUCCCCCAACUCCGCUGACAUCGAGAACUUUAACAGGCUCCGACUCUCCACACUCGAAGCUGAGUAAACCCUCUGAAAAAUCAAUAAUUACUGAUAAGGAUACGAACUCUUCCAAUAAAUGAGACAGCGAUACUUGCUGGCUCUGAGGGAACACGAUCUUUAAAUUGACAUCUACCGGGUAUUUUGAUAAGCUGGGAAUCCUGUCAAAAAAAUCAAACACGAACAAAAUUUUUCCGACCACCAACAAACAAAUGAUGAAUCGCCUUGAUCUCUUUUGAAACGCUGCUCAACUUGGUUCGUAUGGACAUUCCAUAUGUUGAUAUAUCCAUCUGAGGUACAAGUUGCAAGUCGGGAGCCAUCAGGAGAAAACGAACUUGAAAGAACCCGUGUUGGACGUGGCAGGCGAGAAGAUUGUUGGUGUGUUGGAGGUAAUGUCCUAAAGACAUAUAAUUUUUCCGCAUCUGCAUAGAACCACAGAUCAUCUUCAACGGUUGUUAGUUUGUAGCAGUCUAUAUACACCUCUUCGCGAGAAAUAUGAGCAGAAAGGUUCCAAGCAGCAAGCGUAGUGAAAUGAGUGCUUUCUAUGACACUUAAAGUAUGAUCUUUUAAAGAAAAACUACACUCUACACCAUUGUAGAUCCCCGUGGACCAGGAUUCCCAUUCGUCUCCCCAAAACGUGAACGGCAUGCAAACUUCGAUUUCUAAUCUUUUAGAAGAGUUUAAUUCUUUAAAUCCUGGUAGAAAACAACGUUUACAUUUCUUAUCCUGGAAUACUCCUGGUUCCUUUAGCUUUACAUCACGUAUGUUUCGCUCAUCACAUCUUUGCCAGGUAAUGGCAUUCCAAACGCAAAACGAAUCUUCUGCUUCUUGAAUUGUAGAAUCGUCUGAUUCUGAAUCUGCACUCAUAGAAUCAUCUGAUUCUGAAUUUACGAAACUCAUAUCUACAACAUGUUGCCGAACUCCAAUAAUAAAUAACCCUGUACUGCUAAAAGAGCACCGACCAACACCCACGCCAGCACAAAGUAACGACAGCAACCUUUGCUUGGCAACGUCCCAUAACUUCAUAGUGUUUGUACCGUCACCAGUUACCAGCCUCUUGCCAUUCGGGGAAAAUGCACACGACGCAAACGUCUCUUUAUUUCCGUGGAAAAAAGGUACUAACUUUCUUUCAGCAAUGUUAAGGACUAAUUCCAGUUCCCCAAAUAAAAGGAAUGAAUCGUCUGGAGCAAAUGUGCAGCAUGGAAUACUUCCAGCAAUACUUCUGUAUUGUGUUGAAUAUUGCCAAAGCUCAACUAAACUUGGUACGGAUAUUACACGGAUUGUCUCAUCGUCGUCUGCAACGGCUGCCAUUGUUUUAUCAUUGGACAAGCCAACAGCGUUAGUCUCUGACAUUUCAGGAAUACGCCACGCUGCAAGCGGCAAAACCUCCACCUCAUUAAAGUUAUACUUGACAAACCGUGAAACCUUUGAUAAAAGCGACUCUACAAUUUUCUUCUCGUUAUCACUGAAAUAUCCUUCUGGAGAAUGCGUGAGAACACUUUGUAAAUAAUAUGAUCCCAUCUUUAGCAUUGAUUCUUUUUCCAGAAAGUCAAUUUCAAAGACAUGCCAUAGAAUGCGUUUUCGUAGUUUGUCACUUGUGACCACAGAACUUUGAAGAAUUCCUAACCAGAGAUUUAACAGGUAAAGUCUAUCAUCGUGGCUUAUUUGGGGGUAGAUAGUUAACGAAACGUGUAUGAUUACUAUAUCUACCAACCAAAACAAACGUUCCUUCAUCAUGCAUGCUCCUAGAUAAUCAAAGCCAUUCUUCAGAGCGUACUUCACAUCGUUAGUUAAGUUUAAAUCAUGUCCGGAGCAAACGGUUUUCUUAAUUUCUUCGAAAACCUUUUCACAAAUUAGCCAGAGUGAUUUACUUCCAUCCAUGACAUUGACAGUAUAUUCAUGAUCUUUGUAGCCUUCUGCAAGAAGCCAGUCAGUCACGGAUUUGUGAAAAACGGUCACCAGAUCAUCAGAAACGUAGAGCAAGCACGAUACCGUUUGAUUGACUUUGUCAAUAAUCUUUCUGGUUUCGCGACAAUCUGGAGACAAACCAAGAGCACGAGAGAUGAAGCUGAGGGGAAGAGGGCCUUUAGAAACUGCCAGCAUUUCCAAAAUUUUCAACACAUCAAGAUUUCCAUGCAUUAUGGCUCUUAGCUCGUCUUUAAGGCGAUUAAAAUAUGCUAAGUAAAUAGAAUCCAGGCCUUUUGGGACAAACUUCAUUAUUUCAUCCAACGUCAUCGUAUCAAAAUCGUCGCGUUUCCGUAGCUCAGAUUGAACGUAAAACGCGUACAGAAAUGAACCCUCGCACUUCUUAGCAAGCACUUUAUACACACUUGGAUUCGAAAACAGAUCUUUACAUAGGAAUUUCUUUGCUUUUGUGUCCCCUAGACUUGGAAGGCAGGCUUUGAGGUAUAAUUCAAGAUCAGAGUUAUUGUUGGCGUCAUCGCUGUCAAUAUUAAUCCUUUGAACAUCACUUAGUUUUGUUACGGAAAUCUCCGGCCUGCUGGUCACCAGGAACUUUAUACACUCGGGAAGAUCUGGAAAAUAAUCAGUAAUCAAAUUCAUAAUUUCAUCCUUAUUAUCUGCUGCACUUUCAUCCAAGCCAUCGAUCACGACCAAACUUGGUUCUUCUAAAUCCAAUUCAUCAAGGGGAUUUUGCAAGUAUAUUGUAAAAGCAUCCUUUAAGCUUUGGACUUGAUAAGGUCGCCUCAACUGAUCAAGAAGCUUCUCUUUAAAACCCGCGAUAUUUUCACACAUCUGACUAGCGAGAGACUGCAGCAUCAGCAUAGGAUUUCUUAGGUUUGAAUUACUGAAGUCACAAAAGUGAGAAGCUGCCAACUUUCUCUUCAUCUUAAACUCCUCACAAACUUUUGCUGCAAACACACUUUUACCAAACCCAGGUCCAGCUGUCAAUAACAACAUCCUUGAUUUUUGCUCUUUCUCAACAAAUUCGUCCACCUGUCGUAAUAACCACUCUCUCGUGCCAUGAUGGAAAAACUCCACUUUACGUUUAAUUUUGCUCUUGAAAUUAUGCUUUGCCAGUUUUCGCAAGAGAUUUUCAGCACUCUCGUUGCUGCAAUUUUUCUGAUGAUCGGUAUCCUUAGAAACUUGUGACGGAUGAUUGACGGAACUUUGGAGGGCUUGGAUAUCGCUUUGUUGUUCUAGAAUCGACUGAUGGAGUUCUUUUAUCCCAUCGCGGUUUUCUUCAGCAAUUGAUGCCAGCACUUUUAUACUCUCUUCUUCUUGUGAUUUCCAUUCUUUAAGUGUCUCCACAUAUAUUUCUUCUUCAGGUCCUAAAAGACAAGUUUUUAAACCAUCGACAUCAUUGUGGGGAAUGUUUAAUUCUACCAAAGCCUGGGAAAUUUUCUGCCAUAACGAUUCAUAUGUUGCAUUAUCCACUUGAGUUGAUGUCACGUGUGCAUAAAUUUCAUUUCUAAACAACUUCAGUCGUACGAUAUUUGCUUGCAUUGACCUGUCCGUGUCUGGAGGCAUUGCAUCCCAUCCUGUUUUCGGUAAGCCACAAAUGUUCCGGAACAGAACUGUAAGUAAUGUAACAUCGAAGGUUUUGGAAUUUGGCGGGUUACCGGAUGGAGGGAAUAGUAAAUCCCACUGAGGAUUAUUAAUAACUCUAGGCUUUAACUUUAGAAGGGAUGCUCUGUUUGCAGCUAGAACUGCCUUUAGAUUGGCAGGAGGAUGAGUAGAAUCAAAUGUAUUUCUCAAAGCUUCAGUUCCUUUGUCAACCAAAAGUCUACUAAGUCUUGUAAAAUUUGCCUUUUCUUGCAGAUUGACAGAAGCCAUAACACUGCAUGAGUUUACUGCAACAUAAAGUAUAUCUUGGAUAAGUUUCACCUGAGUGAAGUAAUCUUGGUAAGUUUUACCUUAGCAAAUGUGGUGGGGCAGAGGGGGUGGGGCAGAGGUUCCUAUAAUUUAUGGCAUUCUAUUAAUACCAAUAUACGAUCUUCCCUAGAAUGACAUAUUUUAAUUUACAUGCUGUCGAGCAUAUGCUUUUCAAAGAUCAGAUUACAGGUUAGCACAAUCAUGUAAAAAUUUGUGACAUCUUGAGUUUUGUCGCAUUUCCCAGCUGCCACAAUGAACAUUAUCUUGCGUCCAACAAAAGCCAUUGCAGAUCCUCAAUAAACCUUCGGAUUCAAUUCCUCUCAGUGUUAAUUCUGGACUUUGCUUGUACUCAUCUUCAACGUACUAGAGUCUUAGCUGUUAUCAUCAUUUGUUGCAGUUGUUUUGGGGCAAUAAGUAGAGGGUUUUUUUCAGAAUGGAUCCAAGCAAUUUGUGGUCUAAUUCGACCAGUAUUUUUCUACCAUACACGUAGGUCUCAACAGCAUCUACUUCACGGAUGCCUUUAUUCAGUGUUAGAAAUCUUGACGGAUAAUCCACUGGUGGCUGUGGUUGAUUUUUCUGUGUGAGCCAGGCUGAAGAUGUAAGACCAUUUAUGCCAACGUCACGGUGGAAUACAGGGUGUCGAAUGCAAUGUUGUGAUUACUUGGAUCCUUCAAUCCAGGUGCUAUAUUUCAUAGAGUUAUUCCAUGCGCGUGAUCAGAAAUACACAGGAUGUGUUGUUCAAUAUAAAUUCUACCGAGAUAGAGUCUCCAGAUACCCGUGUUCGACGACAGCCUAUCAGGGCCUUUUUUAACAUACAAGCUGGGGGGGGGGCAUUUGCCCCCAGUCCCCCACGAAAUUACAUCCCCCCCUUUUUCCUAAAUUUAUACAAACAAACCACUGAAACCAUUGAAGAAUAACAAAUAGAUAAACGGAAAGUAAGUUUUAUAAGCAUUUAUCCUUUGUCCUUGUUUAACAAAAUCGAUUUAAAUUGUUACGUUUUUCUACCACUAAGUCUAAGUACUGUUUAAAUUAAUAAACGAGCAAGAGUGUUUUAUUAGGUUUAAAGCCACGAGCGCGCAGCGCGAGUGGCUUUAGACCUAAUAAAACACGACCUGCAAGUUUAUUAAACGGCUUCAAAAACGACUACAAAUUCAAUAGAAAUACUGCUUAUUAGUAUUCUUUAUAUAAAAAGUACUAAUGACGACACGACUACAAUAGGUACUGCCUUAUUAGUAUUCUUUAUAUAAAGAAUACUAAUUAGGAGUUUUUAUCAGGUUUAAAGCCACUGCACGUGACAUAUUAUGGUUGACAUGAUUUGUCAAUUAGCUUAUGAAUUAUUAAUGAGUGUUUGAAGUAAUGAUAAAUUAUUGGAAAUAUUUUUUUUAUUUUUUGUGCGUUUUUUCCUUCUUUUAUUUCAAAUACAAGUAUUAGCAACUUAGCAUAAAUUUUAGAGCAAAUUCGGUUUGCUCAGAAUGCAGAAAACGGCAUUUCCGGGCUUCAAAUUUCAAAAAUUUUCCGCGCGAGUAUGCCCCCACACGUGGCCUUCAGCUGUUGCUAUCCCCCUCUAAUAAGUAAUGAUAAAUUAUAAUUUUUUUUUUAACUUUUUGUGCGUUUAUUUCCUUCUUUUAUUUCAAAUACAAGUAUAGUUAGCAUAAUUUUAGAGCAAAUUUGGACGCUUAGAAUGCUUCAAAUUUCAAAACAUUUCUGGGACUCCCCUAUUCAUGCCUGGUAUGUCGGCCACACACGUGACUUUCGGCCAUUGCUAUCCACCUCUAAUAUAUUAUCUCACAGAAAGGUCCCUUUUCAAAAAAUACCCCCUCCCCCCACGAGAAAUUCCUUAAAAAAGGCCCUGCGGGAGAAAAACCGGAGCCCGGGUAAAAACCCCCGAAGGCCGAAGCACAGCGAAGAAAUUCACGAACCAAAUUAUACUCUAAGGACGCAAGUAUAGAUACCCAACCCUCGACCUACAUGCUACAGUAUUACAGUAAUGUUACACGUUUAAACUGAACGAUAGAGUACUAGUUGAGGAGCGUUAUUUCAAGGCAAAUAGGCAAUGGCUUAGCGUGAGGCGGUUUCUACAAAAAACCGAAAACCGAAAACCGACUGGAAAAACCCAAAAAAACCGAGUUAACCGGGUUUUUUUAAAAAAUACGUUCGAAAAUCAAAACUACUGUAAAAAAAGACACAACACGCUACUGAGUACUCACGCAAGAUUAAUACGUAAGGUAUUUUGAAGACGUUAUCAAAUUUCAAACAAACUCUCUUUAGUUUUUCGUGUGUAAAUGCCAAAACGUGAUUCAAUUGCAUCAAACUCGUAUAAGUAUGGUUCGAUUUCAGUAAAAUACCGAUUUUUCUUCGUUUUUUCCCGUUUCCCCCGGUUUUUUCGGUUUUCUGUUUUUUCUCCAAAAGUAACAUCGAAUAUUUCGGUUUUCAAAAAACAUCGGGUUUUUUUUCGGUUUACCGAAAAACCGCCUCACCCUACAAUGGCUGUUUGUGCCUCACACACCGCACACCAAACACGUAAGAACGUCUGAGAGAAUCGUAUUACUUAAUAUAUAUAACUUGAAACAACAAGAAGUCCAGUUUUAGGCCAGGAAUGCACAAGAGUUUUUCCUGAGCAAAAUUGUCUGGUAUUAGACAGGAUAAAAGAAUGGAACACAAUAAAAAACAUCCUUCUAGCAAAUAGCAUUGGUGAAUAAAAGCUAGUUGCUCUCACAUGCUAAGCUAUUCCGCUUUGUAGAAGACAAAAAUUAUAAAGAAAUUUAUAUUCUCAAUCCCUAAUUUGUCAGGACAUACGAACAUUUUUAUAUCAGUAUCACUAAGUUGCCGGCAAGAUAAUUGUGUGACUUGGAAAACCUGAAACUUCAAGGAAAAUGACAAGGAAACUGCUAAAAUUCUCUGUUGUAUUAAUGUCUUCAGUAAUGUGUUUUUCAAGUGCGCUGAGGGGAGACUGAAUCAGUAUUUGAAUAAUUUUUUGGUCGAAUGCGUUGGGGGAGGGAAAGUGGUAUCACUUUGGUUGUAGAUUGAAUACACUAAAAUAAAACUAUAUAUGAAACAAGAUGCAGCACAAGGCUAAAGGUUCUUGUUACUUAUUUCUGCGCAUAAACCUGUUCUUCACAUAAACCACAGGGAAAAGGUGUCUUUUUUUAAGGGAAAAAGUGCAUUACAACAGUCUAACGACGUAGUGUCUGGCCGCCUACUAACUUCCGCAAUCGUAUAUUAAAACACUGAAUAAAACAAAUUCACUUAAACGUAUUGCUUAAUAUUUAACUUCAUACAUAAUACGAUUCUCCAAGACCAAUAAAAACACAAAAGUAGAAAUUACAAUUUAAUUAACGAGGCUUUAUAAACCUUUUUAACAUGACGCCACAGCGCUGUGCCGCGUGCUGUGGUCGAUACAAAAUCAUGAAUAAAAUCAAUAACAUGACCAACACUGACACAAACGCACCUUAUUCAAAUCUUGAUAGAAAUAUUCUUACUACAUGACCAAGUCAUCAAAGAUUAACUACACAAACACAUGAAAUCAAUGCCUAAAACGGGGACCAACCAAGACGAAAUUCAACCAUCAACUUAUUCUGCUGUCCCCUGCUGGGCUACUUAUAAUAAUUACUUUAAAUAAUUCGGGUAAAUUUCCAUAUUAACAAUCUGUAUUUAAAUAAGUCCCAAUCCUAACCCAAAUCCUGUUCCUUAUAAUGUUUACAAUAACGCCAUGGUUGAAUGAUUGAUUCGUGUCUUCGUGUGCAUAAAUUAAUAUAUUUUUUCAACACUCUAACCAUCUUUCAUGCUUUCUACUGAGUUGAAAUUACAACAGAAAAAUAAACGCGCAAACAAACGAGGCAAUUUUUGCUGCAUCUUGGAACGUGAUUUCUGACAUAGAGCGAUGUUAUGUGUAAGGUAGUUGCAAGGAAAUUGUGAGCAUGGCCUACAGUUUACUCUGCCGACAUUUUUCAUCCCAUUUCUUUCAUUUUUUCAUUGAAAUGAAUAUAACUGGAACGCUAUCUUUAGUUUAUAUCAUGAUUGACUGAUUGAGCGCUCUUCGCAUGCGUGGAAAGACUGGGACUGGCCUUCAAGUUUACUCUGCCGACAUUUUUCAUCCCAUUUUUUCAUUUUUCCAUUGAAAUGAAUAUAACUGGAACGCUAUCUUUAGUUUAUAUCAUGAUUGACUGAUUGAGCGCUCUUUGCUCGAAGAUAUUAGCUCAUUGUUUGAGCUACUCUGUAAAUUCGAGUUAAAAUAAAGUGUAUGUAUGUAUGCAUGUAUAUGUAUAUGCAUGCGUGAAAAGACUGGAACUGACCUUCAAGUUUGCCUUCAAAUUUCCGGUUGGAGGUAGCGUUCUCGAUGAAUUUUUCAUUUCCUUAAAAGUAUGUUAUGUAAAGAAAGUAUCGACAGAGUAGAAUGCGGGUCAUGCUCACAAUUUCUUUGUGAUUACUUUUUAAAUAACGUGAUAUUCAAAAUGGCGUUGCACGUUGCAGCAAAAGUAGCUCGUAUAACAUUAAAAAAAAAACUCGGAAAAAGCACAACAGAUAUUUUUUAUCAAACCGUACUUCUCCAACCGAUAUAGAAUCCCAAAAAAGUAUAUUACCAAUAAAAAUUUACAUUACAAAAUGGUUCAUAAAAGUUCUAUAACAAAGCUACCAAACUACAAAAUUCAAUUACCAAGCUAUCACUAAUGUACGAGUCAAAUCCAACCGCGAUCAGCCCCCCCCCCCCGGGCAACCCCAGGGCAUUUGACUUAACAUUACCCCCGUAAAAGGGGGGGGAUUUAACAGCCCGGUCGGGAAUUUGACGGCCUGGCCGGGCAUUUGACCACUUGACAACAACUUGCUCAGCAGUUUACCCUAAAAAUAUGUGUACAUUCUAGCGCUUUACGAGUUUUCUAUUUUGCGUCUUUUCGAUAGUUUGAAAAUUGCUUCUGAAUCACAAAUAUCAAUCAUAGAUAUAUGAUACAAUAUGCCCAGUUGAACAAAAAGAAGAACUGUCGGCCUAUUUUUCGUUCUUUUUAAUCUUGAAAUACUUGUUCAAUUUAAUUUUAGUCAAAAUUCCAGAAACAGCACUACCCCUAUAGCAGGGCAUUUGACUGUGGUUUCUGCCUGUUCGGGCGGGCAUUUGACCAAUUAUUUUUUCAAAAGUCAAAUUUCCCGGGGGUUGCCCGUGGGGGGGGGGGGCUGAUCGCGGUUGGAUUUGACUCGUACAUAAAUUUGAUGACUUGUCUACACAAUAUAAUAUCAGUAUAUCUUACAAAAGUCCUCCCCGCAUGUCGAAAGCUAUUUUCAUCUGUAUAUAAAAAAUGUAUGUAAACCUCAAUCAAAGGAAAUCAUAGACCAAUUUCAUAUCUCCGUCUGCACAGGUCGGAACCACUCAAAAUACAGUUAGUUCUCCGUAGUUUCUUCACAGAUCAAUAUAUACGUUUCUUUUUAUGGAAAACACCAAGUUUAUUUAGCAAAGUUUUCAAUCUGUAUACUUCAUCAAAUAUAGUCUGUGU